rnacentral:rRNA from 1 species
UACGGAGGGUGCGAGCGUUGUCCGGAAUCACUGGGCGUAAAGGGCGCGUAGGCGGUGCGGUAAGCGUGCGGUGAAAGCUCGGGGCUCAACCCCGAGUCGGCCGUGCGAACUGCUGGACUGGAGCAUGUCGGAGGCGGGUGGAAUUCCGGGUGUAGCGGUGGAAUGCGUAGAGAUCCGGAAGAACACCGGUGGCGAAGGCGGCCCGCUGGGACAUAGCUGACGCUGAGGCGCGACAGCGUGGGGAGCAAACAGG